GGGUGCAAGCGUUAAUCGGAAUUACUGGGCGUAAAGCGUGCGCAGGCGGUUUUGUAAGUCUGUCGUGAAAGCCCCGGGCUCAACCUGGGAAUUGCGAUGGAGACUGCAAGGCUUGAAUCUGGCAGAGGGGGGUAGAAUUCCACGUGUAGCAGUGAAAUGCGUAGAGAUGUGGAGGAACACCGAUGGCGAAGGCAGCCCCCUGGGUCAAGAUUGACGCUCAUGCACGAAAGCGUGGGGAGCAAACAGGAUUAGAUACCCUGGUAGUCCACGCCCUAAACGAUGUCUACUAGUUGUCGGGUCUUCAUUGACUUGGUAACGCAGCUAACGCAUGAAGUAGACCGCCUGGGGAGUACGGUCGCAAGAUUAAAACUCAAAGGAAUUGACGGGGACCCGCACAAGCGGUGGAUGAUGUGGAUUAAUUCGAUGCAACGCGAAAAACCUUACCUACCCUUGACAUGUACGGAAGGCCGGAGAGAUUUGGCUGUGCUCGAAAGAGAACCGUAGCGCAGGUGCUGCAUGGCUGUCGUCAGCUCGGGUCGGGAGAUGUUGGGUUAAGUCCCACAGCAAGCGCAACCCUUGGCAGUAUUUGCUACAUGCAGUUGACCACUCUAAGGAUGCUGCGGACGACUAGCAGGAGGAGGUGAGGACGACGGCCAUCUUGAUGUUAUGUAUAGGGAUUCUUCACGCUACAAGGAUGGUACAAA
rnacentral:rRNA from 1 species